AUUGAACGCUGGCGGCAGGCCUAACACAUGCAAGUCGAACGAGUGGCGGACGGGUGAGUAAUGUCUGGGAAACUGCCUGAUGGAGGGGGAUAACUACUGGAAACGGUAGCUAAUACAGCAUACCAUCGGAUGAGCCCCGAUGGGCUUAGCUAGUUGGUGGGGUAACGGCUCACCAAGGCGACGAUCCCUAGCUGGUCUGCGAGGAUGACCCGCCACACUGUAACUGAGACACGGGCCAGACUCCUACGGGAGGCCGCAGGGGGGAAUAUUGCACAAUGGGCGCAAGCAUGAUGCACCCAUGCCGCGUGGAUGAGUAAGGCCUUCGGGUUGUAAAGUACUUUCAGCGGGGAGGCGUUACCCGCAGAAGAAGCACCGGCUAACUCCGUGCCAGCAGCCGCGGUAAUUC
rnacentral:rRNA from 1 species